AAUAGAUACCCCGGUAGUCCACGCCCUAAACGAUGUCAACUGGUUGUUGGGUGGGUUUCUACUCAGUAACGUAGCUAACGCGUGAAGUUGACCGCCUGGGGAGUACGGCCGCAAGAUUGAAACUCAAAGGAAUUGACGGGAACCCGCACAAGCGGUGGAUGAUGUGGUUUAAUUCGAUGCAACGCGAAAAACCUUACCUACCCUUGACAUGCCAGGAAUGCCGCAGAGAUGUGGCAGUGCCCGAAAGGGAGCCUGGACACAGGUGCUGCAUGGCCGUCGUCAGCUCGUGUCGUGAGAUGUUGGGUUAAGUCCCGCAACGAGCGCAACCCUUGCCAUUAGUUGCUACGAAAGGGCACUCUAAUGGGACUGCCGGUGACAAACCGGAGGAAGGUGGGGAUGACGUCAGGUCCUCAUGGCCCUUAUGGGUAGGGCUACACACGUCAUACAAUGGCCGGUACAGAGGGCUGCCAACCCGCGAGGGGGAGCCAAUCCCAGAAAACCGGUCGUAGUCCGGAUCGCAGUCUGCAACUCGACUG
rnacentral:rRNA from 1 species